GGAAGCGUAGCUCAGAGGAAGAGCGUCUGCCUUACAAGCAGAAGGCCACAGGUUCGACCCCUGUCGCUUCCACCA
rnacentral:tRNA from 1 species